CGGCAAAUGCACGACGUAAAUGGUGGUC
rnacentral:sRNA from 1 species